UGCAGUCGAACGAUGAAGCGCCAGCUUGCUGGUGUGGAUUAGUGGCGAACGGGUGAGUAACACGUGAGUAACCUGCCCCCUACUCUGGGAUAAGCCUGGGAAACUGGGUCUAAUACUGGAUAUGACCAAUCACUGCAUGGUGUGUUGGUGGAAAGAUUUUUUGGUGGGGGAUGGACUCGCGGCCUAUCAGCUUGUUGGUGGGGUAAUGGCCUACCAAGGCGACGACGGGUAGCCGGCCUGAGAGGGCGACCGGCCACACUGGGACUGAGACACGGCCCAGACUCCUACGGGAGGCAGCAGUGGGGAAUAUUGCACAAUGGGCGAAAGCCUGAUGCAGCGACGCCGCGUGAGGGAUGACGGCCUUCGGGUUGUAAACCUCUUUCACCAGGGACGAAGCUAACGUGACGGUACCUGGAGAAGAAGCACCGGCUAACUACGUGCCAGCAGCCGCGGUAAUACGUAGGGUGCGAGCGUUGUCCGGAAUUAUUGGGCGUAAAGAGCUUGUAGGCGGUUUGUCGCGUCUGCUGUGAAAGACCGGGGCUUAACUCCGGUUCUGCAGUGGGUACGGGCAGACUAGAGUAUGGUAGGGGAGACUGGAAUUCCUGGUGUAGCGGUGAAAUGCGCAGAUAUCAGAAGGAACACCGAUGGCGAAGGCAGGUCUCUGGGCCAUUACUGACGCUGAGAAGCGAAAGCAUGGGGAGCGAACAGGAUUAGAUACCCUGGUAGUCCAUGCCGUAAACGUUGGGCGCUAGGUGUGGGGCUCAUUCCACGAGUUCCGUGCCGCAGCUAACGCAUUAAGCGCCCCGCCUGGGGAGUACGGCCGCAAGGCUAAAACUCAAA
rnacentral:rRNA from 1 species